rnacentral:tRNA from 1 species
GGGGUUGUGGCUCAGUGUCAGAGUGCUUUCUUUGCACAUAUGAGGUACUGAGUUCGAUCCUCAGCGCCACA